CUUUGAGUUGGAGAGGAAACGCAACAGGCCUGAGAGAUAUGAUAGGAAUUGUUACAGAGUGCACACUAAAGGCCAUUAAGAAGAUUGACAAAAUCAGAGUGGCUAGAGAGGCUAGACACCAUGCUAUGAGGAUGAAGGCAAGAAAGCCAUUGAGCAGCAGGCAGCAGCUAAGGAGUUGGAGCAGAAUAUUCAUUUGGUCAAAGCACCUGCUGCCCUCCAAGAGGAUCCUUCCCUCACUCUUCCAAAGAUGAAAAUAAAGGUUUCUCCAAUCACAAACGGAGGACCGCAUGGAAGAAUAAUGUGAAUGCAGGCAAUCCUCUCACAUGGUGGCAUAGAAAACUCAAUUCAACACCUUCUUAUGCUAUAAUUAGUUUAUUAUGGUGCCUGUGGUUGGUAAAAUGCAGUACUUGAUAGGAUGGAACGUUAGAUAGAUUUAUCCGCUUAGCUGAAAUUGUCAUGUCUGUUUUGGAAGCUUGUUUUAUUUUUUGUUGUGAUAAUGGAAGCUUCAAGAAGGGAUCAUAUUCGCUGGUACAUUGGACUUGAUGAAAAUAUACCUGUAUUUUGCAUGUUAUUAAGCAUCGAGAGAAUAGUGGUUCACUGGAUUGCUAUGA